rnacentral:rRNA from 1 species
AGCGAACGCUGGCGGCAGGCCUAACACAUGCAAGUCGAACGGAUCCUUCGGGAUUAGUGGCGGACGGGUGAGUAACACGUGGGAACGUGCCCUUUGGUUCGGAACAACUCAGGGAAACUUGAGCUAAUACCGGAUGUGCCCUUCGGGGGAAAGAUUUAUCGCCACUGGAGCGGCCCGCGUCUGAGUAGCUAGUUGGUGAGGUAAAGGCUCACCAAGGCGACGAUCAGUAGCUGGGCUGAGAGGAUGAUCAGCCACAUUGGGACUGAGACACGGCCCAAACUCCUACGGGAGGCAGCAGUGGGGAAUCUUGCGCAAUGGGCGAAAGCCUGACGCAGCCAUGCCGCGUGAAUGAUGAAGGUCUUAGGAUUGUAAAAUUCUUUCACCGGGGACGAUAAUGACGGUACCCGGAGAAGAAGCCCCGGCUAACUUCGUGCCAGCCGCCGCCGUAA